UUAAGCGACUAAGCGUACACGGUGGAUGCCCUGGCAGUCAGAGGCGAUGAAGGACGUGCUAAUCUGCGAUAAGCGUCGGUGAGGUGAUAUGAACCGUUAUAACCGGCGAUUUCCGAAUGGGGAAACCCAGUGUGUUUCGACACACUAUCAUUAACUGAAUCCAUAGGUUAAUGAGGCGAACCGGGGGAACUGAAACAUCUAAGUACCCCGAGGAAAAGAAAUCAACCGAGAUUCCCCCAGUAGCGGCGAGCGAACGGGGAGGAGCCCAGAGCCUGAAUCAGUGUGUGUGUUAGUGGAAGCGUCUGGAAAGGCGCGCGAUACAGGGUGACAGCCCCGUACACAAAAAUGCACAUGCUGUGAGCUCGAUGAGUAGGGCGGGACACGUGGUAUCCUGUCUGAAUAUGGGGGGACCAUCCUCCAAGGCUAAAUACUCCUGACUGACCGAUAGUGAACCAGUACCGUGAGGGAAAGGCGAAAAGAACCCCGGCGAGGGGAGUGAAAAAGAACCUGAAACCGUGUACGUACAAGCAGUGGGAGCCUCUUAAUGGGGUGACUGCGUACCUUUUGUAUAAUGGGUCAGCGACUUAUAUUCUGUAGCAAGGUUAACCGAAUAGGGGAGCCGAAGGGAAACCGAGUCUUAACUGGGCGUUAAGUUGCAGGGUAUAGACCCGAAACCCGGUGAUCUAGCCAUGGGCAGGUUGAAGGUUGGGUAACACUAACUGGAGGACCGAACCGACUAAUGUUGAAAAAUUAGCGGAUGACUUGUGGCUGGGGGUGAAAGGCCAAUCAAACCGGGAGAUAGCUGGUUCUCCCCGAAAGCUAUUUAGGUAGCGCCUCGUGAAUUCAUCUCCGGGGGUAGAGCACUGUUUCGGCAAGGGGGUCAUCCCGACUUACCAACCCGAUGCAAACUGCGAAUACCGGAGAAUGUUAUCACGGGAGACACACGGCGGGUGCUAACGUCCGUCGUGAAGAGGGAAACAACCCAGACCGCCAGCUAAGGUCCCAAAGUCAUGGUUAAGUGGGAAACGAUGUGGGAAGGCCCAGACAGCCAGGAUGUUGGCUUAGAAGCAGCCAUCAUUUAAAGAAAGCGUAAUAGCUCACUGGUCGAGUCGGCCUGCGCGGAAGAUGUAACGGGGCUAAACCAUGCACCGAAGCUGCGGCAGCGACGCUUAUGCGUUGUUGGGUAGGGGAGCGUUCUGUAAGCCUGUGAAGGUGGCCUGUGAGGGUUGCUGGAGGUAUCAGAAGUGCGAAUGCUGACAUAAGUAACGAUAAAGCGGGUGAAAAGCCCGCUCGCCGGAAGACCAAGGGUUCCUGUCCAACGUUAAUCGGGGCAGGGUGAGUCGACCCCUAAGGCGAGGCCGAAAGGCGUAGUCGAUGGGAAACAGGUUAAUAUUCCUGUACUUGGUGUUACUGCGAAGGGGGGACGGAGAAGGCUAUGUUGGCCGGGCGACGGUUGUCCCGGUUUAAGCGUGUAGGCUGGUUUUCCAGGCAAAUCCGGAAAACCAAGGCUGAGGCGUGAUGACGAGGCACUACGGUGCUGAAGCGACAAAUGCCCUGCUUCCAGGAAAAGCCUCUAAGCAUCAGGUAACAUCAAAUCGUACCCCAAACCGACACAGGUGGUCAGGUAGAGAAUACCAAGGCGCUUGAGAGAACUCGGGUGAAGGAACUAGGCAAAAUGGUGCCGUAACUUCGGGAGAAGGCACGCUGAUAUGUAGGUGAAGCGACUUGCUCGUGGAGCUGAAAUCAGUCGAAGAUACCAGCUGGCUGCAACUGUUUAUUAAAAACACAGCACUGUGCAAACACGAAAGUGGACGUAUACGGUGUGACGCCUGCCCGGUGCCGGAAGGUUAAUUGAUGGGGUUAGCGGCAACGCGAAGCUCUUGAUCGAAGCCCCGGUAAACGGCGGCCGUAACUAUAACGGUCCUAAGGUAGCGAAAUUCCUUGUCGGGUAAGUUCCGACCUGCACGAAUGGCGUAAUGAUGGCCAGGCUGUCUCCACCCGAGACUCAGUGAAAUUGAACUCGCUGUGAAGAUGCAGUGUACCCGCGGCAAGACGGAAAGACCCCGUGAACCUUUACUAUAGCUUGACACUGAACAUUGAGCCUUGAUGUGUAGGAUAGGUGGGAGGCUUUGAAGUGUGGACGCCAGUCUGCAUGGAGCCGACCUUGAAAUACCACCCUUUAAUGUUUGAUGUUCUAACGUUGGCCCGUAAUCCGGGUUGCGGACAGUGUCUGGUGGGUAGUUUGACUGGGGCGGUCUCCUCCUAAAGAGUAACGGAGGAGCACGAAGGUUGGCUAAUCCUGGUCGGACAUCAGGAGGUUAGUGCAAUGGCAUAAGCCAGCUUGACUGCGAGCGUGACGGCGCGAGCAGGUGCGAAAGCAGGUCAUAGUGAUCCGGUGGUUCUGAAUGGAAGGGCCAUCGCUCAACGGAUAAAAGGUACUCCGGGGAUAACAGGCUGAUACCGCCCAAGAGUUCAUAUCGACGGCGGUGUUUGGCACCUCGAUGUCGGCUCAUCACAUCCUGGGGCUGAAGUAGGUCCCAAGGGUAUGGCUGUUCGCCAUUUAAAGUGGUACGCGAGCUGGGUUUAGAACGUCGUGAGACAGUUCGGUCCCUAUCUGCCGUGGGCGCUGGAGAACUGAGGGGGGCUGCUCCUAGUACGAGAGGACCGGAGUGGACGCAUCACUGGUGUUCGGGUUGUCAUGCCAAUGGCACUGCCCGGUAGCUAAAUGCGGAAGAGAUAAGUGCUGAAAGCAUCUAAGCACGAAACUUGCCCCGAGAUGAGUUCUCCCUGAGACUUAGAGUCUCCUGAAGGAACGUUGAAGACGACGACGUUGAUAGGCCGGGUGUGUAAGCGCAGCGAUGCGUUGAGCUAACCGGUACUAAUGAACCGUGAGGCUUAACCUU
rnacentral:rRNA from 1 species